CAGUAGCCGCGGGAAUACGGAGGGAGCUAGCGUUGUUCGGAAUCACUGGGCGUAAAGCGCACGUAGGCGGCUAUUCAAGUCAGGGGUGAAAGCCCGGGGCUCAACCCCGGAACUGCCUUUGAAACUAGAUAGCUUGAAUCUUGGAGAGGCGAGUGGAAUUCCGAGUGUAGAGGUGAAAUUCGUAGAUAUUCGGAAGAACACCAGUGGCGAAGGCGACUCGCUGGACAAGUAUUGACGCUGAGGUGCGAAAGCGUGGGGAGCAAACAGGAUUAGAUACCCCUGUAGUCCCUGUCUCUUAUAC
rnacentral:rRNA from 1 species